UUGAGUGGUCGGGCCGUCUGUUCAAGGCUUGUCGCUUCUGCUGAGGCGCCGGGGCCUGUCGCUUCUGCUGAGGCGCCGGGGCCUGUCGCUUCUGCUGAGGCGCCGGGUCCUGUCGCUUCUGCUGAGGCGCCGGGUCCUGUCGCUUCUGCUGAGGCGCCGGGUCCUGUCGCUUCUGCUGAGGCGCCUGGUCCUGUCGCUUCUGCUGAGGCGCCGGGUCCUGUCGCUUCUGCUGAGGCGCCGAGUCCUGUCGCUUCUGCUGAGGCGCCAGCGCCGGACGCUACUGCUGAGGCGCCGGGGCUGGACGCUACUGCUGAGGCGCCGGGGCUGGACUUCACACUUGACGUGUCAUCGUGGCCAGUAGCUUCUGCUGACGUGGCAUCGUGGCCAGUAGCUUCUGCUGACGUGGCAUCGUGGCCAGUAGCUUCUGCUGACGUGGCAUCGUGGCCAGUAGCUUCUGCUGACGUGGCAUCGUGGCCAGUAGCUUCUGCUGACGUGGCAUUGUGGCCAGUAACUUUAGCAUUUGGACCAGACACCACACUUGCUUGGGCAUAGGAUCCAGUUGGUUCAGGUCCAGUGUAGGCAGGAUGCCCAUGAGCGUUACCUAGGGAACAAAGAAAACAUUGUGGUAAAAUGCCAGCCUUAAUUUGGAUCGGAACUAGACCUGUGAUUUGACCUUAGUGAAAAGCAAAACGCACCUUUAAGUGUAAAACAAGUUAUCCCUCCAAUUAGCAGGCAACAAAUCCAAGAAACACUACAAAACAGUCAGACAGUUAAACAUAAAUAACCAGCGAAGACUUUAAGACAAGGUAAACAAACAGAUGACCGCAUCGAAAAACUAACCUCAAAGAGAGUCCAAAAGCCAUAUUAGUGAUCAAAACCACUAGAGUAUUCAAGAACUAAUUCUCGACAGCCUGCCAGAAUAUCCCUGUUGCUGUGUCAAACAGCUGUUUUGGUUGCACCUCAUAAAGGAAUCCCAAACCCUUCUCACCUGGCUGGCUAAUUAUGUACAGCUGUCAGCCAAUGACCUUCAUUUCCAUUGGUUCAAUUUCCCAAAUGCGAUUAGGUGCAGUCAUCCGUUGACGUAUGGUGAACAACAGAGAGAGAAUUGGACGACAAAAGAAAGACCAAAUUCAGAUCAACAAUUUACAAAAAAACAGACAAUUGAUGAACGCAUAUUCAAUUUCAUACAUGUUCAUUCGUCUGUAGCUGCCAAAUUCUGAUCUUUUUCCAACUAAUUGGUCUUUUCACCAAUCAGGUCAGCCGUUUUGCCAGCAACGCGGGGCAAAGGGUCAGAAUUGGGCUGCCUGUGUAAACAAACAGACUAUGAGGUAGUUUGUGAUUGAGUCCAAACAGACUUCAGCCACUUUCCAAAGCUUAGACGUUGCUGAAGUCUGCCAGAUCUUACAGCGCCUUGAUAGGUAUUUUAAGUAUCAACUAACCACAUUAUAUGUCAGUGGAUGACACAGUUGAUGAUGUGGCACGCAACCAUUGGUUGUUGCGUUGCCUCACUUUAGCUGUAGAAACUGCCAUAUUGCUGUGUUACACAGGGAGCCCAAUUCUAAUCAUUUUUCCAAGUAUUAGUGUUUUGAGCAAUCAUAUCAGAUCUUUUCACAUCAGAUCUUUUUCAGAGCUGAUUGGUCAAAAGACUAAUUAGUGAAAAAAAAUAUCAGAAUUGGGAUGCCUUUGUAAUGCAGCCUAUGAGGGAGUUCUACUAACCUGAACUGCAGUGCACCGGUCUACAGAAGGUGAUGUGAAAAGGCAAAAGCAGUGAGGGAGGAGCGCCCUUCUCAAAUCGUAGAGUUAGUGGUGUAAUGGAGGAUAUACGCAGGUGUACCACUUUGUUUUCAAUGGACAUUUUGUGUACUCAAUUCUUAAUCCCCACUGAUGUGUAUCAAAGUAGUAUAGUGUAGGUAUACGCUGUAUCAAUUCAUAAGGCUGAUGGAACAGAUCAGAAUGUUAGAAUCCAAAUGUUGAAAAACUAUUAUUUCUUCACAUUUUAAGUGCAUGAAUGUGCACACGGUGGUAGGCCUAUUCAGAAUGUUCCAAAAUGCCACACCAGAGGAGGCUGGUGGGAGGAGCUAGAGGAGGACAGGCUGAUUGUAAUGGCUGGAAUGGAAUCCAUGGAACGGAGUCAAACAUAUCAAACAUAU
rnacentral:lncRNA from 13 species